UCAUGGCAAGCGUUGUCCGGCUUGAGCUUGAUCCUGGCUCAGAUUGAACGCUGGCGGCAGGCCUAACACAUGCAAGUCGAGCGGUAACAGGGGUAGCUUGCUACCCGCUGACGAGCGGCGGACGGGUGAGUAAUGCAUAGGAAUCUGCCCGAUAGUGGGGGAUAACCUGGGGAAACCCAGGCUAAUACCGCAUACGUCCUACGGGAGAAAGGGGGCUCCGGCUCCCGCUAUCGGAUGAGCCUAUGUCGGAUUAGCUGGUUGGUGAGGUAAAGGCUCACCAAGGCGACGAUCCGUAGCUGGUCUGAGAGGAUGAUCAGCCACAUCGGGACUGAGACACGGCCCGAACUCCUACGGGAGGCAGCAGUGGGGAAUAUUGGACAAUGGGGGCAACCCUGAUCCAGCCAUGCCGCGUGUGUGAAGAAGGCCCUCGGGUUGUAAAGCACUUUCAGUGAGGAAGAACGCCUGGUGGUUAAUACCCAUCAGGAAAGACAUCACUCACAGAAGAAGCACCGUGCUAACUCCGUGC
rnacentral:rRNA from 1 species